rnacentral:rRNA from 1 species
AACGAACGCUGGCGGCAUGCCUAACACAUGCAAGUCGAACGAGACCUUCGGGUCUAGUGGCGCACGGGUGCGUAACGCGUGGGAACCUGCCCUUAGGUUCGGAAUAACUCUCCGAAAGGGGUGCUAAUACCGGAUAAUGUCUUCGGACCAAAGAUUUAUCGCCUUUGGAUGGGCCCGCGUUGGAUUAGCUCGUUGGUAGGGUAAAAGCCUACCAAGGCGACGAUCCAUAGCUGGUCUGAGAGGAUGAUCAGCCACACUGGGACUGAGACACGGCCCAGACUCCUACGGGAGGCAGCAGUGGGGAAUAUUGGACAAUGGGCGAAAGCCUGAUCCAGCAAUGCCGCGUGAGUGAUGAAGGCCUUAGGGUUGUAAAGCUCUUUUACCCGGGAUGAUAAUGACAGUACCGGGAGAAUAAGCCCCGGCUAACUCCGUG